rnacentral:rRNA from 1 species
UACGUAGGGUGCAAGCGUUGUCCGGAAUUAUUGGGCGUAAAGCGCGUGUAGGUGGCCAAGUAGGUCCGCUGUGAAAACUUGAGGCUCAACCUCAAGCUGUCGGUGGAAACCCCUUGGCUAGAGUCCGGAAGAGGAGAGUGGAAUUCCUGGUGUAGCGGUGAAAUGCGCAGAUAUCAGGAAGAACACCAAUGGCGAAGGCAGCUCUCUGGGACGGUACUGACACUGAGACGCGAAAGCGUGGGGGAGCGAACAGG